UUUCGAAUUAUUUGCAAUGGGGGCAACCCUGACAGUGCAACGCCGCGUGAGGGAUGAAGGUCUUCGGAUCGUAAACCUCUGUCACCGGACAUUAAUGUGCGCUAGUUAAUAGCUGACGUAUUGAAAAUCCGGAGAGGAAGCAGUGGCUAACUCCGUGCCAGCAGCCGCGGUAAUACGGAGACUGCAAGCGUUACUCGGAAUCACUGGGCGUAAAGGGUGCGUAGGUUGUUGGGUGUGACUGACGUGAAAUCCCAGGGCUUAACCCUGGAACUGCGUUGGUUCCUACCCAUCUAGAGUGUCGGAGAGGCAGGCGGAAUUCCCGGAGUAGCGGUGAAAUGCGUAGAUAUCGGGAAGAACACCGAAAGCGAAGGCAGCCUGCUGGACGACAACUGACACUGAG
rnacentral:rRNA from 1 species